rnacentral:rRNA from 1 species
GACGAACGCUGGCGGCGUGCUUAACACAUGCAAGUCGAACGGAAAGGCCCUGCUUGCAGGGUACUCGAGUGGCGAACGGGUGAGUAACACGUGGGUGAUCUGCCCUGCACUUCGGGAUAAGCCUGGGAAACUGGGUCUAAUACCGGAUAGGAGCCAAUUUCAGUGUGAUGGUUGGAAAGAUUUUUCGGUGUAGGGUGAGCUCGCGGCCUAUCAGCUUGUUGGUGGGGUAAUGGCCUACCAAGGCGGCGACGGGUAGCCGGCCUGAGAGGGUGGACGGCCACAUUGGGACUGAGAGACGGCCCAGACUCCUACGGGAGGAAGCAGUGGGGGAAAUUGCACAAUGGGCGCAAGCCUGAUGCAGCGACGCCGCGUGGGGGAUGACGGCCUUCGGGUUGUAAGCUCCUUUCGCUAGGGACGAAGCUUUUUGUGACGGUACCUGGAUAAGAAGCGCCGGCUAACUACGUG